UCCUUACUCAUAUAGAAUAACGUACAGUAGCCUAUCAGUUCGCUCUUGAAAUCAUAACACACUGCUUUUGAGGUCCACCUGGUGGCGGUUCCAGAUUGUUUGCAACCAGCCACCGCAUGCAUCAUUCACAUCAGCCUUCCCCUGCUGUCUUUUCUUACUGCGGCAGGCCCCUCACCUCACAGUAAACCACAGAUUUUGGUUGCGUCUAAAGCAGCCUAAAGACUCUCGCUUUGAGAGAUGAUUAUUUACCACGCUGCAAGAGCAAAACCUCCAGCGGCCAAGCUGCUUUGUCGUAAAAAUAUAUAAGAAGUGCGCGGGGUCUGUGCGCGAGGGCCAGAAGCAGCCGCACUUCACACUGGCAUCAAUUACUGCGAGCAGUUUGCAAAUAAACAAAGCUGCUGCCUCUCAUAAAUUCUGUGCGUAAUUACGCACUGCAGAUGCAUGCUGGGAGGCGAUGAGAUGCAGGCAGACGUUAUUUAUCCCAUGAAGUCGCUGGUGCUGCAGACAAGAUGGAGCUGAUCAAAUAUUAAAGAGCAGCAUAUGGAGGUGCUGGGUGUGAGGAGGCCAACAGCAAGAGAGAGAGACGCACACAAAAGAAAAUGCAAUAACAAAAUGGAAAUGUCUUGCUUCCGUAAGAAAUGUUUAAGGAGGAGGUUUGGUAAGAGGAUGGAAGGAAAAAAUAUGACUCAAUAAAAACAGACUUUUCUCGAAUGUCUGCAUAUUAUCAGACCAUGAUAAUCAGAUUUUCCAUGCUCAUGUAUUCCAUGCAUUCCACAAUGGAAUCACAGCUCACAUUCUGAACUGCACAAAUCAGAUGCAAAUCUCAUGCAUGAGAUUUUAUUAGACAUGUGAGGACCAUGAUUUGUAACUAAAUGUGCCGAAACAAAUAAGCAACGGCACACUGCAAGGGAUUUCAUAAGGGUCUUGAGGGUGGUGUUCUAAAAUAGUAGCCCACUAUUAAAAGGGCUUACAACUUUGCAUGUAAACCCAUAAUUGAAAACAAUGUUUUUACCAAACCAACCCAGUUCCCUUGGGAAAAUGUGAACAGAUGUUCUUUAACUCUACAAAUGAAAUAAAACAAUGAUUCUUUUUUGGUGUGUGUGUGUGUGUGUGUGUGUGUACAUAUAUAUAUUAGUUGUGCUCAAAAUUAUUCAUACCCAUGAUCAAAGAAAGCUGUAAAACUAAAUCUGCAUUGUUUAUCCAUUUGAUCUUUCAUUCAAAAAAAAAAAAAAAAAAAAAAAGAAAAAAUCUAACCUUUAAUUGAA